AUACGUAGGUGGCGAGCGUUGUCCGGAAUUACUGGGUGUAAAGGGCGUGUAGGCGGGAUGUCAAGUCAGAUGUGAAAUACCGAGGCUUAACUUCGGGGGUGCAUCUGAAACUGAUAUUCUUGAGUGUCGGAGAGGAAAGUGGAAUUCCCAGUGUAGCGGUGAAAUGCGUAGAGAUUGGGAGGAACACCAGUGGCGAAGGCGGCUUUCUGGACGAUAACUGACGCUGAGGCGCGAAAGCGUGGGUAGCAAACAGGAUUAGAUACCCUGGUAGUCCACGCUGUAAACGAUGGAUACUAGGUGUAGGAGGUAUCGACCCCUUCUGUGCCGCAGUUAACACAAUAAGUAUUCCGCCUGGGGAGUACGGCCGCAAGGUUGAAACUCAAAGGAAUUGACGGGG
rnacentral:rRNA from 1 species